UACGAAGGGGGCUAGCGUUGCUCGGAAUCACUGGGCGUAAAGGGUGCGUAGGCGGAUAGUUUAGUCAGAGGUGAAAGCCCAGGGCUCAACCUUGGAAUUGCCUUUGAUACUGGCUAUCUUGAGUAUGGGAGAGGUGUGUGGAACUCCGAGUGUAGAGGUGAAAUUCGUAGAUAUUCGGAAGAACACCAGUGGCGAAGGCGACACACUGGCCCAUUACUGACGCUGAGGCUCGAAAGCGUGGGGAGCAAACAGG
rnacentral:rRNA from 1 species